rnacentral:lncRNA from 1 species
AGUCCUGAGACCAGGCUACCUUGCAUUCCUAAUUUACAUGUUUGUAAAAUUGUUUAUUUCCCUACCCAGGAAAAUGCCUUCGGUGGUUUAAAUGAGUUCUUUUGACAUUCCCUUUAAAGGAUGGAGCCCAAUUCCCCUCCUCUUGAGUACGGAGCUGUUUGUAAGGGACAGAAAAUAGUGGAAGUGAGGAUGCUGCAUGCUGGAGACGAAGUUCUAAGAGACCCUGUGCUUCCUG